CAUUACUGAGUUUACGCUCUAUAACCCUUUGUGAACAUACCUAUAACUGUUGCUUCGGCGGGUAGGGUCUCCGAGACCCUCCCGGCCUCCCGCCUCCGGGCGGGUCGGCGCCCGCCGGAGGAUAACCAAACUCUGAUUUAACGACGUUUCUUCUGAGUGGUACAAGCAAAUAAUCAAAACUUUUAACAACGGAUCUCUUGGUUCUGGCAUCGAUGAAGAACGCAGCGAAAUGCGAUAAGUAAUGUGAAUUGCAGAAUUCAGUGAAUCAUCGAAUCUUUGAACGCACAUUGCGCCCGCCAGCAUUCUGGCGGGCAUGCCUGUUCGAGCGUCAUUUCAACCCUCAAGCUCUGCUUGGUGUUGGGGCCCUACAGCUGAUGUAGGCCCUCAAAGGUAGUGGCGGACCCUCCCGGAGCCUCCUUUGCGUAGUAACUUUACGUCUCGCACUGGGAUCCGGAGGGACUCUUGCCGUAAAACCCCCCAAUUUUCCAAAGGUUGACCUCGGAUCAGGUAGGAAUACCCGCUGAACUUAAGCAUAUCAA
rnacentral:rRNA from 1 species